rnacentral:tRNA from 1 species
AAGGCCCUAGCUUAGUUAAAGUGUCUGAGUUGCAUUCAGGAGAUGUAGGUUAGCUCCCUACGGGUCUUA